UGAAGACCCAGGUGCCGUGGAAUUUGCAACGGGCACAGCACAGGGCAGCUGCAGCAAGCCUGGUGGCGCUGGUGGCCAGGAUGACCCUAGAGACCCAGCUUGCCCUGGUUACGCCGUGAGUCGUGGAGUUCAUGGAGGCGCUCGUGUCCUGGCUGGUCCCAGAAGCCCCAGCGCUGCAGGAGAGUCAGGUGGUGCAGCCGGCGCCAUUCCGCAGAUCCCGGGGCCAUCACACGCUCCAGGGCCUGGUGAAGGCGCUGCACCUGGAGCUGCAGUUCUGAGUAACCGAAUCCUCCAGUUAAGCCUCAGUGUGCCUUUCUCAUCACACGCGGAAGCGGACCUUGCCCGCCACUUCCUGACUACACGUACUCAGUUGCGAGGGCGGAUUCGGAAGGAGCUCUACGUUAAUGGCCGCAUGAUGGUUCUCCGAUUGACUGCUGAAGACCCUGGCCUGCUCCAGAGGUCCAUCGGUUUCUGUCUGGAGCAGCUUUCCCUGGUGAUACGGUCCUUGCAGCACUAUGGGGCCCCCGUUUCUCGGCACGGAAGAGGGGUUUAAACCUACCCUGUGUGCCGUAGCUUCAGGUGUCGUUCCCCAGGGCAUUGCUUUCUGCAGUACUUUGAUCGGGCUUCAUCUCAUGUCUGUGCUGCUUUUGGGGGCUCAGUGUCUACAUAGUUGUUUGGUGAUUGUUAACUGCAGAAAAUAAAACUAAGCUUUUGUGCUGUCUCUGACUUUA
ensembl:lncRNA